rnacentral:tRNA from 1 species
GGGCCGCUAGCUCAAUUGGCAGAGCAACUGACUCUUAAUCAGUUGGUUAUAGGUUCGAGUCCUAUGCGGCUCA